CCUACGGGAGGCAGCAGUGGGGAAUAUUGGGCAAUGGAGGAAACUCUGACCCAGCGACGCCGCGUGCGGGAUGAAGGCCUUCGGGUUGUAAACCGCUUUCAGUAGGGAAGAAGCGAAAGUGACGGUACCUACAGAAGAAGCACCGGCUAACUAUGUGCCAGCAGCCGCGGUAAUACAUAGGGUGCAAGCGUUGUCCGGAAUUAUUGGGCGUAAAGAGCUCGUAGGUGGUUCGUCACGUCGGAUGUGAAAAUCUGGGGCUCAACCCCAGACCUGCAUUCGAUACGGGCGAUCUAGAGUGUGGUAGGGGAGACUGGAAUUCCUGGCGUAGCGGUGGAAUGCGCAGAUAUCAGGAGGAACACCAAUGGCGAAGGCAGGUCUCUGGGCCAUUACCGACACUGAGGAGCGAAAGCGUGGGGAGCGAACAGGAUUAGAUACCCUGGUAGUCCACGCCGUAAACGGUGGGCACUAGUUGUGGGAACCUUCCACGGUUUCUGCGACGCAGCUAACGCAUUAAGUGCCCCGCCUGGGGAGUACGAUCGCAAGAUUAAACUCAAAUGAAUUGACGG
rnacentral:rRNA from 1 species